rnacentral:rRNA from 1 species
CCCUUAGAUGUUCUGGGCCGCACGCGCGCUACACUGACGAAUUCAACGAGCUUAUAACCUCGGCCGAAAGGUCUAGGUAAUCUCCAAAAUUCGUCGUGAUGGGGAUAGAUUAUUGCAAUUAUUAAUCUUCAACGAGGAAUGCCUAGUAAGCGCAAGUCAUCAGCUUGCGUUGAUUACGUCCCUGCCCUUUGUACACACCGCCCGUCGCUCCUACCGAUUGAAUGGUCCGGUGAAGCGUUUGGACUAUGGUUUUCUGACGGUUCGCCAUUGGAUUACCGUGGGAAAUUCGUUAAACCUUAUCAUUUAGAGGAAGGAGAAGUCGUAACA